UCCAGCUUAUCGCUGGCGGUCUCCUGCGAGUUGCGCCUUGCGGCAUGCCGUAAACGAUGAACACUAGGUGUGGGGGGAGUCGAAUCCCCCUGUGCCGAAGCCAACGCGUUAAGUGUUCCGCCUGGGGAGUACGGCCGCAAGGCUAAAACUCAAAAGAAUUGACGGGGGCCCGCACAAGCAGCGGAGCAUGUUCUUUAAUUCGAUGCAACGCGAAGAACCUUACCUGGACUUGACAUGGUGCUGCAAGCGCACGGAAACGUGUGACCUUCGAGGGUGCACCACAGAUGCUGCAUGGCUGUCGUCAGCUCGUGUCGUGAGAUGUUGGGUUAAGUCCCGCAACGAGCGCAACCCCCGUGGCGUGUUGCCAGCAUUAAGUUGGGGACUCACGCCAGACUGCCGG
rnacentral:misc_RNA from 1 species